AUUGAACGCUGGCGGCAGGCCUAACACAUGCAAGUCGAGCGGAUGAAGGGAGCUUGCUCCUGGAUUCAGCGGCGGACGGGUGAGUAAUGCCUAGGAAUCUGCCUGGUAGUGGGGGAUAACGUCCGGAAACGGGCGCUAAUACCGCAUACGUCCUGAGGGAGAAAGUGGGGGAUCUUCGGACCUCACGCUAUCAGAUGAGCCUAGGUCGGAUUAGCUAGUUGGUGGGGUAAAGGCCUACCAAGGCGACGAUCCGUAACUGGUCUGAGAGGAUGAUCAGUCACACUGGAACUGAGACACGGUCCAGACUCCUCCGGGAGGCAGCAGUGGGGAAUAUUGGACAAUGGGCGAAAGCCUGAUCCAGCCAUGCCGCGUGUGUGAAGAAGGUCUUCGGAUUGUAAAGCACUUUAAGUUGGGAGGAAGGGCAGUAAGUUAAUACCUUGCUGUUUUGACGUUACCAACAGAAUAAGCACCGGCUAACUUCGUG
rnacentral:rRNA from 1 species